rnacentral:lncRNA from 1 species
CGCCACCAAAAAAAUAAGAAAAAAAGUCAUCAAAGAGUACAAAGACUUCAGUGCUAGGCUCAUGAAUGGAAGAGAAAACAGUCCUUCCAUCUAGUGACAUCUUCCUAGGCUUCAUGACAAAUAUGAAGUGGUGGAAUGAUUGCAGCCCUUAUUGAACCACAUUGUGAGCCUGGAUAGUCCUUCUUCUUCAUAUAUACGAAUCUU